UAAAACUUUUGUCUUAGUUUAUACGAAUUGUUGAAACAAAUUAGCCAUACCCCAUAGUAUUUUGGGGUAUGGCUAAUUUGUUUUAUGCAAUAGUUUUUUUUGCAUACAACAGAUUAAAUAAAUAAAAAUAAAUAAAAAUAAAUAAUAAAAUAAAAUUAAAUGUCAAAUAAAAAUUAAUAUUGAAAAAUAUUUUUCAUUAAUAUAUUCUAUUAAUAAUCCAUUUUAUUUAUUCUAUUUUUUUUAUAUUUCUAUUUUAUAAUAUAUUUCUUAUAUGUUUAUUAUAUGUGAUUGAUUGGUAUUGGUGUGGAUUCCUCCUUUUUUUCAUUUUUUUUCAARAUUGGCAUUCURUGUUAUGUCCAAUUCCUCGAUCUAAGUUUAAGUUAAGUAUGGAGGUCAGAAUAAAUACAAUAAUGAUGAAUGGAAAAAAAAGAAAAUCCUUUAGCUCGAUAAGGGGCGGAUGUAGCCAAGUGGAUCAAGGCAGUGGAUUGUGAA
rnacentral:misc_RNA from 1 species